rnacentral:rRNA from 1 species
UACGUAGGGGGCAAGCGUUGUCCGGAUUUAUUGGGCGUAAAGAGCGUGUAGGCGGCCAAGCAGGUCAGCUGUGAAAACUCGAGGCUCAACCUCGAGACGUCGGUUGAAACCGCUUGGCUAGAGUCCGGAAGAGGAGAGUGGAAUUCCCGGUGUAGCGGUGAAAUGCGCAGAUAUCGGGAAGAACACCCGUGGCGAAGGCGGCCCUCUGGGACGGUACUGACGCUGAGACGCGAAAGCGUGGGGAGCGAACAGG